UUAAGCGACUAAGCGUACACGGUGGAUGCCCUGGCAGUCAGAGGCGAUGAAGGACGUGCUAAUCUGCGAUAAGCGUCGGUAAGGUGAUAUGAACCGUUAUAACCGGCGAUUUCCGAAUGGGGAAACCCAGUGUGAUUCGUCACACUAUCAUUAACUGAAUCCAUAGGUUAAUGAGGCGAACCGGGGGAACUGAAACAUCUAAGUACCCCGAGGAAAAGAAAUCAACCGAGAUUCCCCCAGUAGCGGCGAGCGAACGGGGAGCAGCCCAGAGCCUGAAUCAGUGUGUGUGUUAGUGGAAGCGUCUGGAAAGGCGUGCGAUACAGGGUGACAGCCCCGUACACAAAAAUGCACAUACUGUGAGCUCGAUGAGUAGGGCGGGACACGUGGUAUCCUGUCUGAAUAUGGGGGGACCAUCCUCCAAGGCUAAAUACUCCUGACUGACCGAUAGUGAACCAGUACCGUGAGGGAAAGGCGAAAAGAACCCCGGCGAGGGGAGUGAAAAAGAACCUGAAACCGUGUACGUACAAGCAGUGGGAGCACGCUUAGGCGUGUGACUGCGUACCUUUUGUAUAAUGGGUCAGCGACUUAUAUUCUGUAGCAAGGUUAACCGAAUAGGGGAGCCGAAGGGAAACCGAGUCUUAACUGGGCGUUAAGUUGCAGGGUAUAGACCCGAAACCCGGUGAUCUAGCCAUGGGCAGGUUGAAGGUUGGGUAACACUAACUGGAGGACCGAACCGACUAAUGUUGAAAAAUUAGCGGAUGACUUGUGGCUGGGGGUGAAAGGCCAAUCAAACCGGGAGAUAGCUGGUUCUCCCCGAAAGCUAUUUAGGUAGCGCCUCGUGAAUUCAUCUCCGGGGGUAGAGCACUGUUUCGGCAAGGGGGUCAUCCCGACUUACCAACCCGAUGCAAACUGCGAAUACCGGAGAAUGUUAUCACGGGAGACACACGGCGGGUGCUAACGUCCGUCGUGAAGAGGGAAACAACCCNNNNNNGACCGCCAGCUAAGGUCCCAAAGUCAUGGUUAAGUGGGAAACGAUGUGGGAAGGCCCAGACAGCCAGGAUGUUGGCUUAGAAGCAGCCAUCAUUUAAAGAAAGCGUAAUAGCUCACUGGUCGAGUCGGCCUGCGCGGAAGAUGUAACGGGGCUAAACCAUGCACCGAAGCUGCGGCAGCGACGCUUAUGCGUUGUUGGGUAGGGGAGCGUUCUGUAAGCCUGUGAAGGUGUGCUGUGAGGUAUGCUGGAGGUAUCAGAAGUGCGAAUGCUGACAUAAGUAACGAUAAAGCGGGUGAAAAGCCCGCUCGCCGGAAGACCAAGGGUUCCUGUCCAACGUUAAUCGGGGCAGGGUGAGUCGACCCCUAAGGCGAGGCCGAAAGGCGUAGUCGAUGGGAAACAGGUUAAUAUUCCUGUACUUGGUGUUACUGCGAAGGGGGGACGGAGAAGGCUAUGUUGGCCGGGCGACGGUUGUCCCGGUUUAAGCGUGUAGGCUGGUUUUCCAGGCAAAUCCGGAAAAUCAAGGCCGAGGCGUGAUGACGAGGCACUACGGUGCUGAAGCAACAAAUGCCCUGCUUCCAGGAAAAGCCUCUAAGCAUCAGGUAACAUCAAAUCGUACCCCAAACCGACACAGGUGGUCAGGUAGAGAAUACCAAGGCGCUUGAGAGAACUCGGGUGAAGGAACUAGGCAAAAUGGUGCCGUAACUUCGGGAGAAGGCACGCUGAUACGUAGGUGAAGCGACUUGCUCGUGGAGCUGAAAUCAGUCGAAGAUACCAGCUGGCUGCAACUGUUUAUUAAAAACACAGCACUGUGCAAACACGAAAGUGGACGUAUACGGUGUGACGCCUGCCCGGUGCCGGAAGGUUAAUUGAUGGGGUUAGCGCAAGCGAAGCUCUUGAUCGAAGCCCCGGUAAACGGCGGCCGUAACUAUAACGGUCCUAAGGUAGCGAAAUUCCUUGUCGGGUAAGUUCCGACCUGCACGAAUGGCGUAAUGAUGGCCAGGCUGUCUCCACCCGAGACUCAGUGAAAUUGAACUCGCUGUGAAGAUGCAGUGUACCCGCGGCAAGACGGAAAGACCCCGUGAACCUUUACUAUAGCUUGACACUGAACAUUGAGCCUUGAUGUGUAGGAUAGGUGGGAGGCUUUGAAGUGUGGACGCCAGUCUGCAUGGAGCCGACCUUGAAAUACCACCCUUUAAUGUUUGAUGUUCUAACGUGGACCCGUGAUCCGGGUUGCGGACAGUGUCUGGUGGGUAGUUUGACUGGGGCGGUCUCCUCCUAAAGAGUAACGGAGGAGCACGAAGGUUGGCUAAUCCUGGUCGGACAUCAGGAGGUUAGUGCAAUGGCAUAAGCCAGCUUGACUGCGAGCGUGACGGCGCGAGCAGGUGCGAAAGCAGGUCAUAGUGAUCCGGUGGUUCUGAAUGGAAGGGCCAUCGCUCAACGGAUAAAAGGUACUCCGGGGAUAACAGGCUGAUACCGCCCAAGAGUUCAUAUCGACGGCGGUGUUUGGCACCUCGAUGUCGGCUCAUCACAUCCUGGGGCUGAAGUAGGUCCCAAGGGUAUGGCUGUUCGCCAUUUAAAGUGGUACGCGAGCUGGGUUUAGAACGUCGUGAGACAGUUCGGUCCCUAUCUGCCGUGGGCGCUGGAGAACUGAGGGGGGCUGCUCCUAGUACGAGAGGACCGGAGUGGACGCAUCACUGGUGUUCGGGUUGUCAUGCCAAUGGCACUGCCCGGUAGCUAAAUGCGGAAGAGAUAAGUGCUGAAAGCAUCUAAGCACGAAACUUGCCCCGAGAUGAGUUCUCCCUGACCCUUUAAGGGUCCUGAAGGAACGUUGAAGACGACGACGUUGAUAGGCCGGGUGUGUAAGCGCAGCGAUGCGUUGAGCUAACCGGUACUAAUGAACCGUGAGGCUUAACCUU
rnacentral:rRNA from 1 species